AGUAAUGUUUUUCUUACUUACUUAUUUAACAAAGCCUUUUCCCAUCAAGUGGGGUUGGCUAUAUGGAUAAAGACGUCAUUGCAUCGUGUUCAUGCUUUGAGAUGCGACCUUGUUUUACUUUGGCUGUCGUAGGCCUAACACAAACCGACAUGGCUUCAAGGACGUCAUUGCGUCGUGUCCAUGUAUUGGGAUGCGAUAUUGUUUUACGUUGGCAGUCACACACCGAACAACCCUCCUAUUUUUUCGGUUUGGGACCGGGCGAGUUCUUGUUGACACAGCUAAUCCUAUUAAUUUUUAAAAGCUUGUGAUAACUGAAUUUGUAGUCGGUCACAUACCAGGAAAAUUUCAUCUCCAGUGGCAUAUCUCCC